GAAGUGGUGGCUCAGUGGUAGAAUUCUUGUCUUCCACGCAAGCGAUUGGGUUCGAUUCCCGGCCAAUGUA
rnacentral:tRNA from 1 species